UACGUAGGGUGCAAGCGUUGUCCGGAAUUAUUGGGCGUAAAGAGCUCGUAGGCGGUUUGUUGCGUCUGUCGUGAAAGCCCACAGCUUAACUGUGGGUCUGCGGUGGAUACGGGCAGACUAGAGGCAGGUAGGGGAGAAUGGAAUUCCCGGUGUAGCGGUGAAAUGCGUAGAUAUCAGGAGGAAUACCGAUGGCGAAGGCAGGUCUCUGGGCUGACACUGACGCUCAUGCACGAAAGCGUGGGGAGCAAACAGG
rnacentral:rRNA from 1 species